UCUCAUCUGUAAGUGGAACCUAAUCAACAAAACAAACAAGAAAAUCUUAUAUCAGAGAAGCAUAUUCUAUAAAUCUGAAACCUGGGAAAUCUAAAUUUAAGAAGAUACAAACUAGAGUGUACCUGACAUGUGAAUUGUUUGGGUGAAUUAAUAUAAGGUUGUUAGAGGAUGAAGAACUGUGAUUAAGGGAAGGGGAUGGGAAGAAGCCAGUGAGAACUACUUUCAUUGCAGACUCAUGCCCAUCCUCUGUAACAAAUCAGAUAUUGGUUUUCCCUAAUUCAAUCCUAACAUUAAUGCUGACAAUAAUAGCAAAAUACAGGGAUUUCUGGUGG